GAGUUUGAUCCUGGCUCAGAUUGAACGCUGGCGGCAGGCCUAACACAUGCAAGUCGAGCGGUAACAUUUCUAGCUUGCUAGAAGAUGACGAGCGGCGGACGGGUGAGUAAUGCUUGGGAACUGUCUUGAGGUGGGGGACAACAGUUGGAAACGACUGCUAAUACCGCAUAAUGUCUACGGACCAAAGGGGGCUUCGGCUCUCGCCUUUAGAUUGGCCCAAGUGGGAUUAGCUAGUUGGGAACUGCAUUUCGAACUGGCAAACUAGAGUGUGAUAGAGGGUGGUAGAAUUUCAGGUGUAGCGGUGAAAUGCGUAGAGAUCUGAAGGAAUACCGAUGGCGAAGGCAGCCACCUGGGUCAACACUGACGCUCAUGUACCAAAGCGUGGGGAGCAAACAGGAUUAGAUACCCUGGUAGUC
rnacentral:rRNA from 1 species